GAUGAACGCUGGCGGCGUGCCUAAUACAUGCAAGUCGAACGAGGUGCUUUUGUAGUAAUACGAAGGUAUCCUAGUGGCGAACGGGUGAGUAACGCGUUGGUGACCUACCCCAAAGUGUGGGAUAACAGAUCGAAAGAUCUGCUAAUACCGCAUGUGGUUAUCGGAUUCAGAAACUGAUAACUAAAGCAGCAAUGCGCUUUGGGAGGGGCCUGCGUCCCAUCAGCUAGUUGGUGAGGUAAUGGCUCACCAAGGCUACGACGGGUAGGGGACCUGAGAGGGUGGCCCCCCACAAUGGAACUGAAACACGGUCCAUACACCUACGGGUGGCAGCAGUAGGGAAUAUUGCUCAAUGGGCGAAAGCCUGAAGCAGCAACGCCGCGUGUGCGAUGAAGGCCUUCGGGUCGUAAAGCACUUUUCUGAGGGAUGAGAAAGGGCAGUACCUCAGGAAUAAGUCUCGGCUAACUACGUGCCAGCCGCCGCAGUAACAC
rnacentral:rRNA from 1 species